CCACUGAGUGUUUCAGUUGCAAUUCUUCAUCAAUUCAAUAUUCUGCCGGAGAUGUAUCAAGUUGGCUACACAAAAUUGUUUUUCCGCACCGGCCAGGUAAGAUGAGUACUCAAUCUCUUUAUUCAAUUAAGACAAGAAAAUAUUAAAGUAAACCUCAACUACAAAAGUGUGACAACCCUCGUCAGCUGACCUGCUAACCCUUAACGUAACCACGUGGCUCAAAAAGUUAACCUCGAGUUAUAUAGUAGCUUGACGAGUUCCCCUCAAUUUUCCUUGCCCACCAUGUGGACUUGGGGCCUCACAAAACCUAUCCCAUCCCCGAUGUGAUGCAUCACUCUAAAUAGCAAACCGUUCAGUACCUGAGGGAAGUGUCAAGAAGUUGCAGCCCUCCCAUAAUGAUACAAGUCAAACUUCAGAAUGCUGGUUGAAUGUCAGAGCGGCCAACUUAUAACGGAAGCCUGUAUUAAAGUUUUAUAAAAAAGAUAUAUCAAGUCUCCAAAUGACAAUCUGUACAGAUAGGUGUGCUGGAGGAUACAAGAAACCGUAUGCUACAUGGCAUCUUGCGCGUUCAAAGCAGUUAGAGGGGACACCAAGCUCGCUGUUACCUUAAGGAACUGAGGAGAGGGAUUUCCACCCUUCAAUCACUUGUCCGGGGUGAAAAAACAAGGAAGGCAUUUGCAGUCCUACUACAGAGGUACAGAUCUGCAGUGGUCCUACAAAAGCAAUUUAAAGGAAGGAUUGAGAGGAAAAGAUUCAUAGAUGUUUGUCGCCCAACAGCUUGGUGUUACUGCUUAGUCAACUCAUGAUAUGUGCCUUCACAAAAAUGCUGGAAAUAGGCUUUAUUUGGGCAAAGUGUGGUCAUUUUCGGGCUUGGAUUCAACCCUGUCACAAACUAUCAACCAGUUUUUUGUGUGAUAAACGAAUUGGAACCUAGUUUGGCAUAUAUCAUGAGUUGAAACUUAGUCAACUCAUGAUAUACGCCCGCAACCAAACCGCACAACCCUCUCGCGGUCCUCUGUUAGUUUUGCUCAUUUUCGAGAACACUAGGUUCUUUACAACAUACUUUAUUUCAUAUUUCAGCUUUUGGGAAUCCGUGGAUUCUCAAAAUCUAUUACUAACAAGAAUUUGACAAUACAACAGUUUUUAAAGGCUAAAAUCUCAAAACCUGCCCCUAGAAUUUGUUCAUAAACAACCACAAAGAAAGGUAUUCAUCACGUAAUUUUUAUUUGGUGCAAUAACGGAUGUAAAUUGUUUUGACUCUUAUUCCCAAAUAUCACAAUUUCAAAGUUGGGAAACUAUAAUAUUUGCAUUAAGAAUAUAAAUAUGCCUUGUUCGUCUUCUUAUAGCUUUUCUUGUUCGUCUCCUAGGUACCGCAAAGCAAAAAUGGAAGCAAAAAAAAUGGCAACAGCUUGUGAUCCUCUCUUUCUAUUCCAAAAACAUUUCAAUGUGGAAUGAAGAAAGAGCAUGAUUAGCAGCUUCUUAAGAGAAAUUAUGUCUGGAAUAUUCUUAACUUAACAGGAAGUUUAGCCAAGUUUUUUGAACUAUAUAGUACUAAAAUUUGAUAUCCAGACUGCAAAUACAAAACCACAGAGUGGUAGAAACGCAUAUUUAUUUAGC